rnacentral:rRNA from 1 species
UACGGGGGGAGCAAGCGUUGUUCGGAUUUACUGGGCGUAAAGGGCGCGUAGGCGGCCAGCGCAAGUCAGUUGUGAAAUCUCCGGGCUUAACUCGGAAAGGUCAACUGAUACUGCGCGGCUAGAGUGCAGAAGGGGCAACUGGAAUUCUCGGUGUAGCGGUGAAAUGCGUAGAUAUCGAGAGGAACACCUGCGGCGAAGGCGGGUUGCUGGGCUGACACUGACGCUGAUGCGCGAAAGCCAGGGGAGCGAACAGG